CAGAGGAGGAGGAGCAGGAGGAUGCAGCUGCGACCGCGGCCCCAAGAGGGAGCCGCCGCUGCUCUGUGGCCAGGGGGGCCCAGGGACUGGAAUCAGGCCUGGGGGUCGCAUCGCUGAGGGGACUGGUAACGGCGGUCCCUCCAGAGGCUCAGGCCUAGUACCCCAGGAGGGUCCGGGCCGCUGGGCGAGCGCCUUCCCCCCAUCGCCUCCCCUCGUCCCUCCACGUCGAUGGUGGUGAAGUUGGCGGCGCCACGGAGCGCAAGGCACCAAGCUGUCUCCCUUGCACCCAGCUCCUCUCUGGCCCCGGCUGUUGGACACCUGCGCCGCCGCCUUCUCUCGCCCGCCGAGCCCACCCCCUGCGGCGGGCGGGGGAGGGGCUCCCCCCUGCAGGGGCUGCGUCGAGCAGGGCGACGACGGGGACCAUAGGAGAGUAGGGGUGGAAGAAAUAUGGAUAUGCUGUAUUCUGUUUGAAAGGAUUCAUCAUGAACCAGAAAAAAAUCAAUGAAAAGGGGCAUUUCACCUAGAUUAAAUUUUGCAAUUUUUAAAAAGCAUAUGAACAAAGAAACUAUCCUCCAAACAUCCAAAUAAGGAAGAAUACUUUACCUAACAAUAGGAACAAAUUAAAAAUAAUUGAUUCAGCCUAAGACUUUUUUUUCAGCGAAGAAGUAGUUUAAUAAUUGCAGGGCCAGCCAAAUAAGGAGAAAGGGAAAAAACUUCUCAAACCCAUCUCUCUGAGAAUUUGGAGGCUAGGUUUUUUUAAGGACACUUUGGCAGGCAGGGGAUAGGAAACUUUUAAGAAAUGAUUGACUGGGGAUGAAAUCACAGGGGUACCUAAAACUGUCUCGGCUUAGCUGAGUCAGUUCCUGGGAGGGGGCUGUCUUGGGACCAGGUGGCAUCUCUUGGUCAGCUCUUGGUCUGCUUAUAAAUCUGAAAAAUAUCUCAAAGACCAGUUUUUUUAAGUUUCAUAAUAGUGAUGUUAUCUAUAGGAGUAGUUGGAGAAGUGUAAAACUUGUGACCCCCAGUUACAUGACUCGGCAGCUGUAAGCAACUUAUAGAAAAACACAUAAAGCAAUGGCAGGUAAUUGUUUAAUUAUGUCUAUUGUUUAGCAAAGUUCAUGGCCCCACCAUAAUUCUUUUUCUAAUUAUUAUUUUUUAAAAUGUUUGUGGGUACAUAGUAGAUAUUUAUAUAUUUGGGAUACAUGAUAUGUUUUG
rnacentral:lncRNA from 10 species